GGAUUUUAUUUGAUAUAGUACAACCUAUAAAGACUGCGCUGAGGUGUAGCAGUUGAUUAAACAUUGCAUUGCUUUAUUUUCACAGGGGUUGGGACCACCCGUGGAUUGGACUGUACAGAUCCUCCUCUUCUGCAGACGGCUUCAACUGGUCAGACAAUCAGUGUUCGAGCCAGACGCUCACCGGCUGGACUAACUUUCGAAACGGCCAUGAAUCGUAUGAUUCUAAUAAGCUAUGCUUCCGGUUGCAAAAGGAUCAGUACAUAUGGGAGAUACGCGAGUGUUCAACGCGCAACAGAAUUAUAUGUGAAAAGCAUAUCCCCGCCAGUAACUGUAACUACACAAACACAGGCACACGCAUUAGUUUUGCAGAAGUGUCGUCUGCCACAGCAAGCUGGUGCCAGAAUUAUUGUAUGACAGUACAGGGAUGCGUGAUGGCCGCCGCCGCUAGGGCUGAUAACUGUGCACUGGCGAUCUCAUCGACAAACUCUAGCACUCAACUAUACUACAAAGACUGUCAAGUCUCCGGUUCUUGGAACAAUUCAGACACCAAUUCGUAUCAAGGUGCGGAUGACCUCAGUAACACGCCCACUCCGUGUCAGCCUGGAGAGAAU